rnacentral:rRNA from 1 species
GGAUAACCUGCCCUUGGGUCCGGCAUAACCCCGGGAAACUGGGGAUAAUUCCGGAUAACGCACAUAUGCUGGAAUGCUUUAUGCGUAAAAUGGAUUCGUCUGCCCAAGGAUGGGUCUGCGGCCUAUCAGGUAGUAGUGGGUGUAAUGUACCUACUAGCCUACAACGGGUACGGGUUGUGAGAGCAAGAGCCCGGAGAUGGAUUCUGAGACAUGAAUCCAGGCCCUACGGGGCGCAGCAGGCGCGAAAACUUUACAAUGCGGGAAACCGUGAUAAGGGGACACCGAGUGCUAGCAUCAUAUGCUGGCUGUCCAGGUGUGUAAAAUACACUUGUUAGCAAGGGCCGGGCAAGACCGGUGCCAGCCGCCGCGGUAACACCGGCGGCCCGAGUGGUGAUCGUGAUUAUUGGGUCUAAAGGGUCCGUAGCCGGUUUGGUCAGUCCUCCGGGAAAUCUGAUAGCUCAACUAUUAGGCUUUCGGGGGAUACUGCCAGACUUGGAACCGGGAGAGGUAAGAGGUACUACAGGGGUAGGAGUGAAAUCUUGUAAUCCCUGUGGGACCACCUGUGGCGAAGGCGUCUUACCAGAACGGGUUCGACGGUGAGGGACGAAAGCUGGGGGCACGAACCGGAUUAGAUACCCGGGUAGUCCCAGCCGUAAACGAUGCUCGCUAGGUGUCAGGCAUGGCGCGACCGUGUCUGGUGCCGCAGGGAAGCCGUGAAGCGAGCCACCUGGGAAGUACGGCCGCAAGGCUGAAA